rnacentral:rRNA from 1 species
CCUACGGGAGGCUGCAGUGAGGAAUAUUGGUCAAUGGCCGGAAGGCUGAACCAGCCAAGUCGCGUGAGGGAAUAAGGCCCUAUGGGUCGUAAACCUCUUUUGUCAGGGAGCAAAGGCGUCCACGUGUGGACGAGAGGAGAGUACCUGAAGAAAAAGCAUCGGCUAACUCCGUGCCAGCAGCCGCGGUAAUACGGAGGAUGCGAGCGUUAUCCGGAUUUAGUGGGUUUACAGGGUGCGUGGGCGGAGUGUGAAGUCAGCGGUAAAAUUUCGGGGGUCAACCCCGUCGUGCCGUUGAAACUGACGCCCAUGAGUGAGUGAGAAGUAAGCGGAAUGCGGGGUGUAGCGGUGAAAUGCAUAGAUAUCACGCAGGACGCCGAUUGCGAGGGCAGCUUGCCGGUGCUCAACUGACGCUGAGGCACGAAAGUGCGGGUAUCGGACAGGAUUAGAUACCCUAGUAGUG